CAGUAGCCGCGGGAAUACGGAGGGUGCAAGCGUUAAUCGGAAUUACUGGGCGUAAAGCGCACGCAGGCGGUUAUAUAAGACAGAUGUGAAAUCCCCGGACUCAACCUGGGAACUGCAUUUGUGACUGUAUAGCUAGAGUACGGCAGAGGGGGAUGGAAUUCCGCGUGUAGCAGUGAAAUGCGUAGAUAUGCGGAGGAACACCGAUGGCGAAGGCAAUCCCCUGGGCCUGUACUGACGCUCAUGCACGAAAGCGUGGGGAGCAAACAGGAUUAGAUACCCCAGUAGUCCCUGUCUCUUAUAC
rnacentral:rRNA from 1 species